UACGUAGGGGGCGAGCGUUGUCCGGAUUUAUUGGGCGUAAAAGGCUUGUAGGUGGCCACGCCAAGUCGGAUGUGAAAUCUCCCGGCUCAACUGGGAGGGGUCAUUCGAUACUGGCGGGCUCGAGGCCAGUAGGGGGAAGCGGAAUUCCCGGUGUAGUGGUGGAAUGCGUAGAUAUCGGGAGGAACACCAGUGGCGAAGGCGGCUUCCUGGACCGGUUCUGACACUGAGGAGCGAAAGCGUGGGGAGCGAACAGG
rnacentral:rRNA from 1 species